UGGGGAAUAUUGGACAAUGGGCGAAAGCCUGAUCCAGCAAUGCCGCGUGUGUGAAGAAGGUCUUCGGAUCGUAAAGCACUUUCGACAGGGACGAUGAUGACGGUACCUGUAGAAGAAGCCCCGGCUAACUUCGUGCCAGCAGCCGCGGUAAUACGAAGGGGGCUAGCGUUGCUCGGAAUUACUGGGCGUAAAGGGCGCGUAGGCGGCUCUGUGAGUCAGGCGUGAAAUUCCUGGGCUUAACCUGGGGACUGCGCUUGAUACUGCGGGGCUUGAGGCCGAGAGAGGGUGGUGGAAUUCCCAGUGUAGAGGUGAAAUUCGUAGAUAUUGGGAAGAACACCGGUGGCGAAGGCGACCACCUGGCUCGGUACUGACGCUGAGGCGCGACAGCGUGGGGAGCAAACAGG
rnacentral:rRNA from 1 species